AUGGCCAAAAGUAUAUGGGUCAGGGUCGCAGCAAGAAGAUCGCCCGCAUUGAGGCUGCCGCAACGGCGCUGCGCAGUUUCAUACAAUUCAAAGAUGGUGCCGUACUCACACCGCUGAAGCCGACCUGUAAUCUUGAUUUCACUAGCGAUGAGCAUUUGGAAAACGGUAUUGUCAAUUAUGAGAACAUAAGCACGGCUGAAUUAGUCCCGCUUUUAGACGCACUGUUCAGGCAUGCGAAAUUUAUUAAAAAACUGACACCCUUCAUGCGGGUAACCGAUUGUGCAUUGAGCAUGACAAAUGUAAAUAAGAGCGCGAUCACUGUGGAUGGGCAGAAGAAAGUGCCGGACAAGGGACCUGUCAUGCUGCUCUACGAGCUCUUCAACGAUGUACACUUCGAUUGCUCAACAGUGGAUGGGGCGCAGAAUAAUUGUCGCUUUAAAAUGACAGUAACGGUGAAUAAUAGCAAAUUCGAUGGCACAGGUCCAUCAAAGAAGUUGGCCAAAAAUGCAGCCGCCAAAGCCGCAUUAGCUUCGUUGUGCAACAUUUCGUAUAGUCCUAUGAUGCAUCCGCAAAAGAAUGUGCCAUUGCCGAUCGACGAUAAGACAUCGUCUAUGGAGUUGCCACAAAUACACGCCGACACAAUUGGACGUUUGGUAUUGGAGAAAUUCAUGGAGGUCAUUAAGGGACAGGAAUCGUAUUCGCGACGCAAAGUCUUGGCUGGCAUUGUGAUGACCGAAGAUAUGAACUUUAACGAAGCCAAAGUAAUUUCCGUAUCCACUGGCACCAAGUGUGUGAGUGGCGAACACAUGAGUGUCACUGGCGCUGUGCUCAACGACUCGCACGCCGAGAUCGUCUCGCGCCGUUGUCUAAUGAAAUAUUUAUAUGCUCAAUUGGAUCUGCAAUGCAGUCAGGCCACUGCAAAUCAGUCGAUUUUCGUGAGGAAUCAAGACAAUGGGCAAUACCCGUACAAACUAAAAUCCGGUGUUCAUUUCCAUUUGUACAUCAAUACAGCGCCUUGUGGUGAUGCACGGAUUUUUAGUCCUCACGAAAAUGACACUGGUGUUGACAAACAUCCAAAUAGAAAGGCGCGUGGUCAAUUGCGUACUAAAAUCGAAUCGGGUGAGGGGACUAUACCGGUUAAAAGCAAAGAGGGUCUACAGACAUGGGACGGUGUACUGCAGGGCGAACGUUUGCUGACCAUGUCCUGCUCGGAUAAGAUUGCACGCUGGAACAUCGUGGGCAUACAGGGAUCUCUGCUGGCCUCCAUUAUAGAGCCAAUUUAUUUGCAUUCCAUAGUGUUGGGCAGUCUAUUGCAUCCCGAGCACAUGUACCGUGCCGUUUGCGGCCGAAUAGAGAAAUCCAUACAAGGUCUUCCGCCUCCCUAUCAUCUGAAUAAACCUCGCUUGGCGCUAGUCACAUCCGCUGAGCCGCGUAACCAGGCUAAGGCACCGAAUUUCGGUAUCAAUUGGACCAUUGGGGACAGUGAGGUUGAGGUGGUGAAUUCACUUACUGGCAAAACGGUCAACAACCAAAUAUCACGCAUUACCAAGCAGAUGUACUUCAUGAAGUAUGGCUUUUUGAUGAAAAAUUUGCCUGGCAUACCAAAUCGCAAGCUGACUAUCGAUUACGGGCAAGCAAAGGAGAGGGUUAAGGACUACCAGAUUGCCAAGAAAGAGUUAUUUGCGGCUUUUCGACGCGAAGACUUGGGCAGCUGGCUGAAAAAACCAAUGGAACAAGAUCAAUUUGCGCUUCCGGAAUGACUCCGUUGUCACCAUUUUGUUAUUGUUUGUAUUUGUUAGUGUUCCGAGUGGCGUGUUAAUGGAGAGAGCUGCGUAACAGUAUAAGUGCCAGUAAAGAAGAGCGAAGCGACCAAAUCCCAUUUAAUAAAAAUCUUUACGCGUGUGGAAUUCAUUUUAGAUGAUAUGACUCGAUUGCAGAGUGCCGUAGACUUUUUUGUAUUUCAUUGGACUCAAACCCUUCAACGCCUCGAAUUUAUGUCCGCAAAGUCAUUUAUGUGUCUAUUCCAGCUAAGUUUUGUUAUAAGAAACAGAGAUUUGGUCAGUGUGAAUUUCCAAAAAAAU